rnacentral:lncRNA from 1 species
UCAUUAUCAUCUCUAACAUCAACAAAUUCAUCUACAUCAUUUACAUAUAUUUGAGGAGGUAAUGUUAUAAUAGUUUCUUCAUUUUCUAAAAUGUCAAUAGUCGUUGUUGCUUGCGUACGAAUCACAGUCUGCCAUUCUUUGUUUUUCGUAGACAUUUUAGGUAAAUAACACACUUGAUGUGCCUGAUAAGCAAAAAUAAAUGGUUCGUUACAAUUCAAUCGUCGUCUUGUGUUAACUUCGACAGUAUGAAAUCGAUCAACUUUUAUUCCUCGUUCAGUAUCAUACCAAUCAACUUUGAACAUAACUGUUUGAGUUCGAUCUCCAUAAAAAUCAAUUUCCAAAAUCUCUUUCAAAUGCCAUACCAAUUCAUAUCAUAGGCAUUGACAGUGCUUCCUUUCAACAUAACUCCUGAAUUUUUUGUUUUUUUAGAGUUAUCGUGUGCGUCAAUA